AGUCUACUGGUACACCUGUCUGGCUCUCUUCCGGCAUCGACACCCUGUCGCCUUUCCCUCCCCCACCUCGCUGCCGGCGUGAGCUCCACCGUGCCGUCGCCGCCGUCGUCCCCGAGACCGGAGAAUCGGCUCAUCCGCUCCGCCUAGACGCACCGGUCCUCCCCGCGCGAGGAAUCGGCCCGAGCAACACGCCUUCGUCUCCAUCUAACUCACCUCCGGCCGGUCGCCGUGGAUCAUGGUUUCACCUCCGCCUCUCCGCCGGCAUCGCCGACCACCUCAUCUUCACCAAGCUAGUGGAGGGCUGUUGAAAAUGUUGCACGUAGGAUUCAGAUGAUUACCUUUAUUGAGAGUCCAUCCUAAGAGUUUCCCUAUGCCCCAGCUAUGAGGUGUCGUUGAUGCAUACUUGGCUUAGACCAACAGCGUCAGUAUCAACCAUCCGAAGAUAAGCACAAGCUUGCGCUGAGUGAUGCAUCUUGGAUGGAAUCAAACUCGCCAUCCAAAAGUGUGCCUGAAACAGCAACACAGAUUGCAGAUAAUGUUGAUUCAUGUACAAGUGCUGUUGGCAGUGAUAAAAAAAACAAGGCAUGCCUCGCAGGUUUCAGAAAAUUUGCGAGCCCAAGUUCCACCCACCAAAGAGAUUUCAUGCCUUACAUUAGGCGUGCAGCUGAAAGGAAGCUGCUGCAGCCUCAGGUCCUCUGGAUGAGCCUCCUUUGCAAAGCUGAAGCAGAAUGUCUCCUUGAUGUCCCGUCUAGUUUACUUUGCGAGGACUACGCGUGUUGGAUGUUGCGAAUUCCUGAAGCUGAGCAUGGUGCUGCAGACUCAGCUGCACUUGCUGGAGAGGGCGGUACUAUCCCGGUUCCACAUUUUUCUACUCAGCUACACCAAGCUCGUAUACUCCGGCGCCAUUGUUGAUGUAUGCAUGAGAAAGCUGAUGUUUUAUCCAGAAGUCGUUGAUUUUCUCGAAGAUGACAAAGAUGAAUUCCCUUAUGUAGAAGCCCGAUAUGCUUACGGGUCGUCACCAAAGCUCAUAAUGCUUGACAAGGAGUCGUCGAACAGAUCUCUAAUGCGCUUAGAUGAAAUUCGACCACGUUUACAUCUUGCGAAAGGCAGCAAUGUGAUACCUUUUGCAAACUGAAGACGAGAAUGCAGUUUGCUCUGUAGUAGCUACAAGCUGGCUUCCCAUUGAUUUUAUAUAGUUCUCUUCUUGAAUGAACUUUAUACAGCAACUGAACCUUGUACAGUGGGUGAACAGAAGAAGACUAUUGUUCUUCACGUCUAGCACAGUAUAAUAUUGUUCUGUAAUUCUCAUUUGCCACCAUCAAAGCCAAAACAUAGCCAAGUACAGAGCGUCCAUAGAUCUAGGAUUCAUAUUUAAGUUUCAGCAGGUCGUUGUCAUGGCACAAUUCAAAAUCUUCCUGGAUGGACAGUAAACAAGUCACCGUCCUGGAUAAUGCAAUAGGCCAACAAUGAGCCCCACAUUGUUGUUUAUUGUAGAAUUAUUCCCCUUGUUCUGUACACUAAUGAGCUUUCA